UGACGCGUAGCUCAGUUGGCAGAGCAUUGGGCUAGUAUUCCAAAGGUCGUAGGUUCGAUUCCCACCGUGGCCA